UUUUCUUGUGUAAACCCUAGCAUCGCCUUCUGCUUCAAUCAUUUUCCCUCAAUCGAUUGCGUCUCCCAAACCCUAACCAUUCAAAUCCACCGUUUCAUCUAUGCAUCUUCUAUCGUUUCAUCUCUUCCACUUGAAAGAACCCUAGAUAUGUUUACUCUAUGAUUGAGAAAGAAACCUGGUGUUUAUACAGGGUUAUCUAUCUCGUGAAUUUUUGAACGAAUGGUGAUGCUCGGCAAUAACACUAGCAAAUUUGUUCAUGGCGAUAGAUGAAUGAGUGUCGAUCUACGUUGGAGGGAUCUCUAUAUUGGGUGUUCUGUUUAACCAAACAACCUCUAGAAUAGCUCUGGUUGCUGAUGGCACCCGGUAUAUGUAUAGUCUUAUGAAUAGACGGGUGUAUUCCCUGCAUGUUGAUACUGGUUCAUGGCCAAUUUAUAAAGUGAAAAAGGAGGGAAGUUGAAUUACUUGGUUUAUGGGCCAUGUGUAAGGGAUUGAGAGAUCUGAAGCAAUAUAUGAUAUGCUGAAAGAGCAAAGAAGGCCGGUCUUAAGGCAAAAAUAUCCACCCUUCAGCUACAAGCACGUGAACAUUAAUCUUGGCGUUAUAUAAGCUUUGGUUGUGAAGAAACUAGAAGGUCUUUAGGGGAAUUAACAUUCCAGAUUCCAAAAUAUUUUUUAAUGAAUCGAUGACCUGAACCUGCCCUUGCCAGUUACUCAGUUUGAAUUGACCCACUCGUGUUGCCAGAGUAUAAAAACCUCAGCUAGGGUUGGUUAUUGGUUCAAAAGCUCUGCCAUUGUAGAAAUUGAGAUUUAAUAUCAAAAUGCAUUAUGGCUGGGGGGAUAAUAAUUACAACCAGGGUGGAAGAAAAAGAAACGGCGGUAGAAAAUCAAUGAAGAAAACUAAAGGCGUCGAUUUUGGUGGUGCAACCGUUGGACCUCACAAAUCCAAACAAUACUCAAACAAUCAAGAGUCUUAUGUGCCACACACAUCAUCUUUAAGUUUUGUGUUGGAUUUGGUUUGGCAGCACUAGGGUUUUGGUUUUUGAGUUCAGUG
rnacentral:lncRNA from 1 species